rnacentral:rRNA from 1 species
GAUGAACGCUGGCGGCGUGCCUAGUACAUGCAAGUCGAGCGAACAGACGAGGAGCUUGCUCCUCUGACGUUAGCGGCGGACGGGUGAGUAACACGUGGAUAACCUACCUAUAAGACUGGGAUAACUUCGGGAAACCGGAGCUAAUACCGGAUAAUAUAUUGAACCGCAUGGUUCAAUAGUGAAAGACGGUUUUGCUGUCACUUAUAGAUGGAUCCGCGCCGCAUUAGCUAGUUGGUAAGGUAACGGCUUACCAAGGCAACGAUGCGUAGCCGACCUGAGAGGGUGAUCGGCCACACUGGAACUGAGACACGGUCCAGACUCCUACGGGAGGCAGCAGUAGGGAAUCUUCCGCAAUGGGCGAAAGCUAGACGGAGCAACGCCGCGUGAGUGAUGAAGGUCUUCGGAUCGUAAAACUCUGUUAUUAGGGAAGAACAAAUGUGUAAGUAACUAUGCACGUCUUGACGGUACCUAAUCAGAAAGCCACGGCUAACUACGUG